AUGUGCGUGUAUCUGUUCGGUCUGGCAUCCUCUUGGGGAAUGCUUCUGUGCUUGAUUGCAUGGGGUGAAAUUCAAGACUUUUACUUUGAGGAAUUAGAGUAUUCACGGCAAGCUACCGCCUUGAAUACAUUAGCAUGGAAUAAUAAUAUAGGGCGUAAGUUCUAUUUUGUUGGUUUCUAGGACAUACGCAAUGAUUAAUAGGGACAAUUGGGGGCAUUCGUAUUAACG
rnacentral:rRNA from 1 species